UAGAGGUUCCUGUACCAUUUGAAAUAAAAAUUCAUUUCCUUGAAUACAUGGAAUUGAUGCUAAUUAAAAUGCCUGCAAGAGUUAAAGGAAUCAGCCAGCCCCAGGAAAAUAUAAGGUUUUGCCUCAGAUAUUCCACUGCAAGCUGUGAAGGCCUCCCUUGCUGGGUCCAGGAAGAAACCCAGGGGAGAGGCAUGACAUCACCACAUCCGUUGUGCAGAUCCAGUCAGGUCAAUCCAGUAUUGACAGUCUCCGAGGAACCUCAGUGACAUGGAGGUGGAAGGACUUUGGGUGGGGAGAGUCAUAGGAGGGGGCAGGGGUGGUACUGACAGCUUCCAGGGAGAGAUGGCUUCCUUUGUUUUUCUGCAGUUGUAACCCUGUGAAGGGCAGCUCAAAUGACCUUAAAUGUCAGUGUAGACUUGGUGGCCAUAAAUGUGAAAUGGGGUUGGGAUGGGAAAUUGUGGCUCAGCUGGAUUCUAGAUUAAAAAUACAAGACUUUCAGAGAAAUUCCUCCCUCAACAAGUUAUGGUGUGUCCAGGUGUCACAUAAAAGUCAACCUUGAUUUAUGUGGUCUGCACAAGAAUGAAGGAGACCCUGGAUUACAAACUGUCUGGAACUCAUUGUCUGGCCAUUAUCAGAACAAAUCCUAUUCUCAGAUAAUGGACAUCUGUUAAAUCUUCUACUGUUAAUAGAAAAUGUUGCCUGUGGGACAGUGGCUUUUAUGAUAGUACCAUCUCUUCUGUGAUAACAG
rnacentral:lncRNA from 1 species